rnacentral:rRNA from 1 species
UACGGAGGGUGCAAGCGUUAUCCGGAUUUAUUGGGUUUAAAGGGUGCGUAGGCGGGAUAGUAAGUCAGUGGUGAAAUCCUACAGCUCAACUGUAGAACUGCCAUUGAUACUGCUAACCUUGAGUAUAGUUGAGGUGGGCGGAAUAUAUCAUGUAGCGGUGAAAUGCGUAGAUAUGAUAUAGAACACCAAUUGCGAAGGCAGCUCACUAAACUAUAACUGACGCUGAGGCACGAAAGCAUGGGGAGCAAACAGG